rnacentral:rRNA from 1 species
CCAGACUCCUACGGGAGGCAGCAGUGAGGAAUAUUGGUCAAUGGCCGCAGGGCUGAACCAGCCAAGUCGCGUGAGGGAUGACGGUCCUAUGGAUUGUAAACCUCUUUUGUCAGGGAGCAAAGGGCGCCACGUGUGGCGUUUUGCGAGUACCUGAAGAAAAAGCAUCGGCUAACUCCGUGCCAGCAGCCGCGGUAAUACGGAGGAUGCGAGCGUUAUCCGGAUUUAUUGGGUUUAAAGGGUGCGCAGGCGGAGGUGCAAGUCAGCGGUCAAAUUGCGGGGCUCAACCCCGUACUGCCGUUGAAACUGCAUCCCUUGAGUGCGCGAGAAGUAUGCGGAAUGCGUGGUGUAGCGGUGAAAUGCAUAGAUAUCACGCAGAACUCCGAUUGCGAAGGCAGCAUACCGGCGCGCAACUGACGCUCAUGCACGAAAGCGUGGGUAUCGAACAGGAUUAGAUACCCCUGUA